rnacentral:lncRNA from 1 species
GAACAGUACCUGAAUGGGGGAGUGAGGAUGAAGAAAAAUAAAGACAAAGAGAUAGAGUCGGGAGGGCUCCCAGAGACCGAGCACCCAAGUUUACUUUUCACCUUUCUUUUAUACAUUUGGUGAGUUUGGUCAUUAAUCAUGACCCUUAUCCAGAGACACCUGCUUCCCUGUUCUCUAGUUCUUUGGAAAUUCCCCACCCUCAUGGGCUUCUUUGUUUCUCGGGGUUACAGAACGUUCAUCAUAAUAAACAUCUGACUUGGCAAGAACACGGUUCCUCAUAACAUAGUCUCCUUGCUCUUUAUAAUGGAGGGUAAGGUUAAAAUGGAGUCUCUAUGGCUAACACCGCUCUCCACAAUAAAUUUUCUCUAUCAGGUGCCGGCCUCUAUCUGCCCGGAGGACGCCUCUGCACAUUGUUUAGUCCACAGCUGGUGACUGGAUCCACACAGCUCAGGAGAGCUGGAUUGUGUUCAAACGCAGCCAGGAGAAGAAUCCUUGGUAAGU